rnacentral:rRNA from 1 species
GACGAACGCUGGCGGCGUGCUUAACACAUGCAAGUCGAACGGAAAGGCCCUGCUUUUGUGGGGUGCUCGAGUGGCGAACGGGUGAGUAACACGUGAGUAACCUGCCCUUGACUUUGGGAUAACUUCAGGAAACUGGGGCUAAUACCGGAUAGGAGCUCCUGCUGCAUGGUGGGGGUUGGAAAGUUUCGGCGGUUGGGGAUGGACUCGCGGCUUAUCAGCUUGUUGGUGGGGUAGUGGCUUACCAAGGCUUUGACGGGUAGCCGGCCUGAGAGGGUGACCGGCUUCCUUGGGGUUUAGAUACGUCCCACACUCCUACGGGAGGCAGAAGUGCGGAAUAUUGCACAAUGGGCGGAAGCCUGAUGCAGCCACGCAGCGUGCGGGAUGACGGCCUGCGGGUUGUAAACCGCUUUCGACUGUGACGAAGCGUGAGUGACGGUAAUGGGUAAAGAAGCACCGGCUAACUACGUG